UAGUAAAUAAACAAAAAGAAAGAAUAUCUGAAAAGUGGAAAGGAAAUUAUAGAUUAGGACAAAAUUCAGGGUCCUUCUUGAGACAGCUUGUAGGAGCUGUUGUCAUCCUUUGAUCUCGGAACAUCAAGAAAUCCAUAAGCAAGGAUCUUCUCUGCUCCUAUUCCUCUGUGCAGCUGGGUAUUCUAAAUGUGGCUGGAGGAAUCCAUGAGCAAGGAUUGUCUCUGCUCAAUCUUGAGGUAAAUUAUUUAGGCCUUGGAAGCAACAAUCUCACAGGUUGUACCCCAUCUUGGAUAUAACUUUUGGUCUCUUUGAGGUCUUUCCCUUGCAAUAAACAAUCUACAAGGACCAAUACCUCGAGAUAUUGGACGUUUGUCAAACUUGCAAAUCUUCCAAGUUCAUCGAAAUCUGUAUGCUUCCAGGUGAGGAUUUUUUAGUGAUUGCAUGAAUCUGCUGACAUAUCCUAACAGAGAAGGUAAUAUCGAGUCUUGUAAUGGUCAAAUGUAGAGGACUUCCAGCAAGAGCUUGAAAAGGUUUGGGAUCUGCAAGAAGAUGUAGGUUUAUGGUUAGAAGAGAAAUAAAGCUUGGUAGCUAUCAUCAAUUUUUCAAAGAAAAUGGUGUUAUUUGGAGGGGGUGUCCAGGUUACAGAUUCUCCGGUUUAUAAGAAGGUGCCACAUGAAAUGGGGAGACUUCAUUACGUUGUGUAAGGAGCUGAGGCGGAUAAAAGACAUAUUUUGUGAGCUAGUCUUGAUCGUCAAGCACUGUUGACAUUCUCUAAAACUCUCUACCUUAGUAAAUCUAAACAGAUUUGUAAAUUGUUGCUAGUGAGAUACUUUAUUUUUUGAGAUAAUUGGUAAAGUUGCUACCAUGUGACCACGAGGUCACAUGUUCGAGAUGUGGAAACAACCUUGCAGAAGUGCUGGGUAAGGCUAUGUACUAUAUUGUUGUGGUCUGGCCCUUCCCCGGGCAGCCAUUAUGACGGAAAGCUAUUGAGAUACUUCAGUGAAUCUGUUGUUGCUAUUUAGGAAUGAAGUUACUGCUAUUCUUUUACUAUAUCCUAAUGUCCUAUAGUUCCUGUUAUCUAUAUUAACUCAAUUCAUGUCUUCAGUGGCUUACUUGAAGGGCUGUGCAAAGAGUCCGGCGACCAUAGUGGUCCCCGUCUUGUAUCUCCGUAGUGUUUAAGAAGACAGCCAAUCGUAACAGGCAGUGUAGAGUGGUUUCACUGAAGCUGGAACCCUAGACACCCAUUACGCCAUUACGCCAUCUGUGCGCAUUAUUAAUAAUUAUAUAUCCAGAGGAGAGUAGUGGAAAUUCGCUCCCCGUCUGUUGUUAUUUCCUUUGUAAUCCAGUAUAUGGAACUUCUGACGCAUCUAUUUGUGUCAAGGGUCCUAGAUAUGUAACUGCCCCCCCCCCCCCCUCUUCUGCCCAAGCCUUUUAUGUAUACGUAACUUUGUAGUCUUUACAUUUUUAGUUUGUGAUGUUUAUAGUAUCAAAUCAAGAAAAUAGAUGACUUGUGUAAAUUUCAAGUUUCUAAACUUGAAUUGUAAGUUGCACUAGACAAGCCCUGCCUUCCAGAUUGAAUGUACGUUAACUCCACUCAAUUUUGUGGGAAUAUUCAUGGUGAUCUUUUAGUAUUUUCUAUCCGCAUCCCUUGCUUGAACCUUUUACAUUUAACAAAUUUUACAGGCGGAUGGCUUCAUAAUAAUCUCCAAAAUUUUCUGAUCGGAGCUAGAACCAUGUUGUUCGGAACCAUAUCAAUGAAAGGAGGCUUUGAAGGAACAUGCACUUCUAUAUAAGUUUUCUUGUGUUUUCUCAUCCUUUAAAUUGAGGCUGAAUUAGUUUACAUUUCGGUGAUGGGCCAUGGAGGAAGCAACAAUGUUCUUUGCCUCAAGUUCGGACAAAAAAUGGAUGAAUAUCACCCAUAUAUAACGUUGUACUUAAGGUGGCUUCAUGAGAGCCAAGAAGAUACUAACAUGAUAGAAGAGGAAGUGUCGUUGGAAAGUUGGGAGGGGUGAAAAACGUUUGUUGGUUCUGCAAGUUUGACAUUUAGUUGUAUUGACAUAUGGCUUCAAAUGUACAUCAGAAAUUGAAAUAGACUAGUUGGUUUUCUUUCAAGUGAAGGGUUCAAGAGAAGAAAAAGGAUAAAAAGAAAAUUUCCAGUCACAAACAUGCAAGUGUUUAUAUGUAUUCAACAUUUUGUACUUUCUUUUAAAUGGUUUUUGUUUUGUAGA